GAUGAACGCUGGCGGCGUGCUUAACACAUGCAAGUCGAACGAUGAAGCCCAGCUUGCUGGGUGGAUUAGUGGCGAACGGGUGAGUAACACGUGAGUAACCUGCCCUUAACUCUGGGAUAAGCCUGGGAAACUGGGUCUAAUACCGGAUAGGAGCGUCCACCGCAUGGUGGGUGUUGGAAAGAUUUAUCGGUUUUGGAUGGACUCGCGGCCUAUCAGCUUGUUGGUGAGGUAAUGGCUCACCAAGGCGACGACGGGUAGCCGGCCUGAGAGGUGAACGGCCACACUGGGACUGAGACACGGCCCAGACUCCUACGGGAGGCAGCAGUGGGGAAUAUUGCACAAUGGGCGCAAGCCUGAUGCAGCGACGCCGCGUGAGGGAUGACGGCCUUCGGGUUGUAAACCUCUUUCAGUAGGGAAGAAGCGAAAGUGACGGUACCUGCAGAAGAAGCACCGGCUAACUACGUG
rnacentral:rRNA from 1 species